GGUUAUUCCAACAUUCAUGAGUUAUUGAACUUCAGCAUGCCAUACAAAAAGAGAAAAAAUGAGGGAUCGAAACGAGAAGACAGCGAAGUCAGGAUUAUGUUGACUGAUAUCAAACAAAGGAGUACAGAAUUGGAAAGACCAUCAAAGAGGCAAAAGAGAGGAGUAAAGGUUUGGUAUACAUUAUUGGUUCAGCACG